rnacentral:rRNA from 1 species
CAGCAGCCACGGGAAUACGUAGGGUGCAAGCGUUAAUCGGAAUUACUGGGCGUAAAGCGUGCGCAGGCGGUUCGUUAAGACAGAUGUGAAAUCCCCGGGCUUAACCUGGGAACUGCAUUUGUGACUGGCGGGCUAGAGUAUGGCAGAGGGGGGUAGAAUUCCACGUGUAGCUGUGAAAUGCGUAGAGAUGUGGAGGAAUACCGAUGGCGAAGGCAGCCCCCUGGGCCAAUACUGACGCUCGUGCACGAAAGCGUGGGGAGCAAACAGGAUUAGAUACCCCGGUAGUCCCUGUCUCUUAUAC